GGUGAGGUCGCAUAGCUGGUCCAUUGCGGGGGAUUGCUAAUCCCCUGAGUCGAAUAGGCUCACGCGGGUUCGAAUCCCGCCCUCACCG
rnacentral:tRNA from 1 species